UUGACCUAAUACACAGUAGUAAAGUUGCAACAUUUCAUAAAAUUUCUAAGCAUGAAGAUUAGAAUACUUACAGGAUAUACUUUUAAAGCUCCCAGGAGCAGAUAAACCAAGCAAGGGAAGUGGAAGUUGAGAAUUACAGCUUUGGUCCUAUGACGGGAUCUCCCUGUGUGAGACCUUGGCAAGAGUGAAGCCUUAUUCAUAAAAUCUUUGGAGCAAAAGAAUACAACAGAGUCAUCAGCAAAGACAGAGCACUGAGAAAACUUUUCCUUUUUGAAUUUGUACCUGUGGAAAUACAAGAAAGACUAUUCAGAGCAGCAGCUGUGAAGCAAGAUAAACAGCAUGGGAAAGCAAGGCUGACAAUCAAGGACUUCUCUAGAAGAGAAAAGCAAAAGAAAUGGCCUAUGGCUCUGAUUGGAUUAAGCACUCAUGUGAGCUUUCAGCAAUGGGCAUAGCUUGGACUGCAUGCUGGGAGCCUCCCCCUAUCCUGCUGAAGGCACUCAGCAAGCCAGAGCCCUGCAUGGCCACAGCACUGGUCUUGCCAUGACGGUACAGAUGGGGUUAUUGCAUGAAAGUGGAAGAGCCUGUCUCAGCUAUACUUCACAAAACUGUCCUAAUUUCUUCAUCAGUUCUUUGCCCAACAGGGGGACACACCAGAGGACAUGCACUGAAUCAGUGGCAGGAACAAGAAUUAAAUCCACAUCUUCUAGUCUUGCUAGUACACAGGCAGUGGAGAAAAGAGCAAGAUAAAGGAUUAAAAAGCAGUGAGACCAGAAGAUGCAUUUCCUUGAUCAAAAUGAGGUGAACAUUUGCCUGGUACCAAACUGCAAAACUGUGUAGCAACCAGAUGUGAACUUGUGCUUCAGACAAAAUCUGAGCAUGCCACAGGCACCAGAGAAAGUGAGAGCAGUGAUAAAUGACACCAAACCUGAGUGAAAGCAGCAGUCAGGUUCUACAGCUGGCUUUUUCCAUGUACGAAUCAGUCUGGAAUGGAAUGAAUGAAGCUGAAUAAAAAAGCACUUAUUUUGUCUGUUUGUUAUUUGAUUAAGCUAUCACCAAGAACUAUUCCUUCAGAAUGCAAAGCUUUUGGAUAAAAAUCGCUACUCUUCUUGACUGAUCUUUUCUCC
rnacentral:lncRNA from 1 species